rnacentral:lncRNA from 1 species
GGGCAAUUCAUAGUAACAUCAUGGAGGGCUGGCAGAUCUCUUGGCUUCUCUCUUGGAGAAAUUCUCUUCCUACUCUCUGUAUUCCAUUUUCAAAGUCAAAGACAAAGAAAACUCUGGAAAAGAAAGAGAUGAGAUAUUUUAUAACAACUUUAUAGCAGUUCUCAAAAGAGGAAUUGUGGAUGAUUAAUAAUCCUAUGAAAGAAUGUUCCAAAUCACCAAUGAGAGAAUUAAAAAUUCAAACAACUCUUGAUGUUUCACUUUAUGCUAAGCAAAUUGUAAAAAAUGACAAAAUACGAAGGCAUUGUGGAAAGAUGGACAUCUUAUAAUAUACUGCUGAUGGAAUUAUAAAUUGCUCCAACCAUUCUGAAAAGCUAUUUGGAAUUUUGAAAACAAAAUGACUACAUUUAAUGUCCACCCCCUUCCAGAUAUUCCAUUGCUAGACAUGUAUUCCUAAAAGAUCAAUGACAAAAAGAAGAGCCCCCAUAGACAUAAAAAUUGUGGCAGCACUUUUUAUAGUAUAUAGUUCUUACUAGGAACAAAGACAUCUGGCUUGGGAGUGGUGAAACAAGUGUGGUACAUGGUAAUAAUGGAAUAUUACUCUGCUUUUAGAAAUGCUUAAUAUAGUCUAUACAUGUCUUCUCCUUUCUUUUCCUACAGGAAACAGAAAGAAGACCAUGGGAAAGAAGGAACUGCAUUGAUCCACUCUGGAUCAACAAAGCUUUCAAAAAUUGCCAGCUAACAAGAUUUAUUGAGUGCCUAUUAUGCCUCACCUAUGGUGUCCAUUUCUCCUGCAACUCCCUCUCACCUGCGAUUCCAAGAAGCUGUGGCAUGGGCAGGAGCUACCCCAGGCUUUCCAAGACAAAAAUUAAAUCUAUUGAUGUCCUUACUAAUGUCCAUCAACCCAUUAACAUCCAGGGAGGGAGUAGAGUCAUUGAGCAGCUGCAGCCAAGUGAAACAUCAAGGAACAGAGGUUUGAGUUGGCAUUGUGUAAGGACUUGCGGAGAAACCUUCCCCCCACGAGGGUCUCGACGACGUCCCCCGGAGCUUUGCUGAUGGCCUGAAUCAGUCAGCACGUGGGAGCCCCUCAAGGCCAGAAGGUGAGAGGUUCAGAGUUGAGGGUC